UCUGGUGAUUAAUCGCAGGGGUCACACCUCUUCCCAUUCCGAACAGAGAAGUUAAGCCCUGUUGAGCCCAUGAUACCCGAUGAGGGAAAAGUAGGUAGUCGCCGGAA
rnacentral:rRNA from 1 species